ACGGAGGGUGCAAGCGUUAUUCGGAAUUACUGGGCGUAAAGGGCGUGCAGGCGGGAGAGCAAGUCUGAUGGGCAAGGCCGGGGCUUAAACCCGGAAGGGCACUGGAAACUGCUUUUCUUGAGUUCUGGAGAGGAAGAGAGAAUUCCCGGUGUAUAGGUGAAAUUCGUACAGAUCGGGAGGAACAUCAAUGGCGAAGGCACCCUUCUGGACAACAUCUUACGCUGAGACGCUAAAUCGAGGGUAGCAAACAG
rnacentral:rRNA from 1 species